CCGCUAGUUGGUGAGGUAACGGCUCACCAAGGGUACGAUCGGUAGCUGGUCUGAGAGGACGACCAGCCACACUGGGACUGAGACACGGCCCAGACUCCUACGGGAGGCAGCAGUGGGGAAUCUUGGACAAUGGGGGAAACCCUGAUCCAGCCAUGCCGCGUGAGUGAUGAAGGCCCUAGGGUUGUAAAACUCUUUCGGCGGGGACGAUAAUGACGGUACCCGCAGAAGAAGCUCCGGCUAACUUCGUGCCAGCAGCCGCGGUAAUACGAAGGGGGCUAGCGUUGUUCGGAAUUACUGGGCGUAAAGCGCGCGCAGGCGGUCCUUCAAGCGAGAGGUGAAAGCCCAGAGCUCAACUCUGGAACGGCCUUUGAGACUAGAGGACUUGGGUACGGGAGAGGUGAGUGGAAUUCCGAGUGUAGAGGUGAAAUUCGUAGAUAUUCGGAAGAACACCAGUGGCGAAGGCGGCUCACUGGCCCGUUACCGACGCUCAGGCGCGACAGCGUGG
rnacentral:rRNA from 1 species